GAUGAACGCUGGCGGCGUGCUUAACACAUGCAAGUCGAACGAUGAAGCCCAGCUUGCUGGGUGGAUUAGUGGCGAACGGGUGAGUAACACGUGAGUAACCUGCCCUUAACUCUGGGAUAAGCCUGGGAAACUGGGUCUAAUACCGGAUAGGAGCGUCCACCGCAUGGUGGGUGUUGGAAAGAUUUAUCGGUUUUGGAUGGACUCGCGGCCUAUCAGCUUGUUGGUGAGGUAAUGGCUCACGAAGGCGACGACGGGUAGCCGGCCUGGGAGGGUGACCGGCCACACUGGGACUGAGGCACGGCCCAGACUCCUACGGGAGGCAGCAGUGGGGAAUAUUGCACAAUGGGCGCAAGCCUGAUGCAGCGACGCCGCGUGAGGGAUGACGGCCUUCGGGUUGUAAACCUCUUUCAGUAGGGAAGAAGCGAAAGUGACGGUACCUGCAGAAGAAGCACCGGCUAACUACGUG
rnacentral:rRNA from 1 species